rnacentral:rRNA from 1 species
UACGAAGGGGGCUAGCGUUACUCGGAUUGACUGGGCGUAAAGGGCGCGUAGGCGGUUUGUACAGUCAGACGUGAAAUUCCUGGGCUCAACCUGGGGGCUGCGUUUGAUACGUGCGGACUUGAGUUCGGAAGAGGGUCGUGGAAUUCCCAGUGUAGAGGUGAAAUUCGUAGAUAUCGGAAGGAACAUCAGUGGCGAAAGCGACUUCCUGGACCAAUACUGACGCUCAUGUGCGAAAGCGUGGGGAGCAAACAGG